CCCCGGGCUGCGUGAGGCUUGUUUGCUCCCUUUCUUUUCAUACACCGCGAAACCACCGCCUCCUUUCCCACCACAUGUGCAAUUAUUUUUGCUGCGCAGCACGGGGUAUCGGUGCAAACCCUUCUCAUUACACCCGCGUGCGUGCACGCCCGCCCUCCUCGCUUCCCCAAAACGUUCCCGCUGGGCCCAUUUCGGGAAGCUGCGUGUAUUACGUGGAAGAAGCAAUAUGAGGUUUCCAGAAACCUGUACGCUCUUCCAAGUACCCCUUUUGCACCCUGCUUUUCCUGGUAAAGCUGGUGAAGGGGUUUCUCUGUGCUCAGAUCCGAUGUUCUUUAAGUGUUUUGUGCUUUUGUUUGUCCUUGGCAGCUCCAUUCUGCAGGAUGUGCGGAUUUUCCCGGAAAACAUCCAACAAGCCAGAAUCGAGGUGGGAGUCCGGACGAACGCAGAAGGUUGGACGUGCAGAUGCUUGGAUCUCCAAACGGCGAGGCUGGAAAGGAGGUCUGGGGAACGGGCCUUGUUAAAAGGAGCAGCUAUUAGUGCUUGUUCUGGGGCGGGGGAGGAAGAGGAGAAACAUUGAGGGGAAAAACGGAUUUCAGGCCCAAAAGGGAAAUCCGGUGUUGGGAAGGUUACUGGAUACUGCUUUUGUGUUUACCGGCGAGCGAGCAGCUCGGCACGGCGGCUCUAGAGACAAAAUGGCAUCGCUGUGCUGGGGGAUUGAGCAAGAGGCGAAUGUAAAUCCUUGAGUUUCCAGGGCACAGCUCAUGGUUAUGAAACAGGAUGGGCAGCAAGGGAGCUCGCGCUAAUGCGAUUCAGAUGAUUCAAACGCAGCCUCCAAGUUCAGUCGUCGAACUGAACAUUGCAAACAGCCCAGGAGGACGCGGUGCCUCUUUCUGGAAGGUGUUCAAGGAUCUUUACUCAUCCGCAGCAGAAAUGGCUUUGUUAUUGCUUCUCCUCCUUCUUCCUCUUUUGGAAUAUUUCACCAUCUGCCAAGGCUGGAGGAAAAAUCUCCUGAUCACCAGGCGGGGGAGGAAAGCCGCGCGGUCCCACCAGUGAUGUGCAAACUAGGCACGUGUUUCUCUGGCUCAGGUGCAGGUUUGUUUAACACAGAACAGGCCAGUUGGUGCCAGCGAGGAGCGUGUUCUGCACGUCUCCGGGAUGACGGGGUUGUGCUCUCUGCACAGGUUACGGGCGUCUGUCUCUCCUUCCUCCGUGCCUCCUCCCACCUCUUACCCCAAACCACGGACUUUGCUGUCUUGUGAUGUUGAGGAAAGCCCUGGUGAGGUACAAAUGCGAUAAUCAACCUCAAUCAGCGUGUAAUGCUCUGCAAUAAUUACAACGCGUUCCCGGGUUGCAGCACUGCCAUUUCGGUUAGCAAAGCAGGCGAGCGCAGGGCUCAGCGCGGCUCGUGGCAAAUGUCCCUGCCGUGGCAGCACACGGGACCAAACGCAGACCGCUUUCCUCUGUUGCACGGGACCUGAUUUUUAUCUUAUUCCAAGAAAAGCAGAGCUAUUCCUAGGGAGACCUGGAGCAGGGCUGAAGCAGAGUAUUAGUCUGUUUGGACUUGCAGGGAGAAGUUGGCAGUCAGCAGCAAUUGCUCUUCAGGCAGAAGUCUGACUAAUCUCAGCGUUGCAACACUUUCCUGUGCCGGGGAAUUCGGAGCGGAGAUGCCUGCGGAUAGGCGCACGCACACGCGGCCCUGCAGCUCGUGCAUCGACUGCCUCUUCCAAGCGAGCAGGAACGCCCUGUGCCAGCCUUGCUCUGCCGAUCGUUUAUCAACGCUUUUAACGUGCGUGGGUGUCGUUGGGAACCGUCUUCGGCUGCUCUGCGCUUGCAGACCCCCCCACGGCUGCUGCGGUGCAGCCUGCGAAGGGAAAGCUCAUUGCACCUCGCUUUUCUGGUGUUGGCCCGACGCUUCUUUAAAUAUUCCAGCGGUCACUGUGGCAUGAAGCACACGUAUUGUAUGCAGAACGCCGUCUCCAAGAGAGUGCUAAACUUGUCACGGCUGUUUACUUACGCUUUUGCACUGUUUGUGUAGUCAGAAGUCUUGAUCUCAUAUUUAUCUCCUCUUAAAACAGCUACAGUUUGUAGUUUAAACACAUUAAUCAUUUCCAAGCCUUUAAAGGGCUUUUAAGUGGAGACACUGGUUUUGUUUGCCUUUUAAUUUUUAUUUAAAGUCUCCCUUCCGAAUCAGAAGGCAAGUGCUUUAAAGGACAUUGAAGGAGCAUACGGUCAAAUAAGCUGCAAGUAGGCAAGUGCACGCACAAGCUAGGAAACGCCGCGCAGCUCGCGCUUUGGAGCAGUACCGCUGCGCGGGAGGGCUGCGUGCAAGGACCGGGCGCCCCGCGGUCCUCGUGCGCAGCUGGAGCGGCAGCGGGGUCCUUGCAAAGGCCGCUGGGCUGGGGCCAGUUUGCAUCUCCCGAGAGCUGGUGCUGCGGGGAUGCGGGUGGGAGCGGGGAGCGAUCCGUGCCCUGGCGUUGCAGCCGGCGUGGGGUCGCGGUGGCCAGCGGGGAGCUAACGCGUUCGGUGGUUGACUUGGCUGAGCUGGCCUAGGGCCAGCACGGAGGAUCUGGUGGUUCCCAGGUCUUGCAGGUGGAUCUCGCAGUGUUUCAGCUCAAGGUUGGCCAUGAAAAGUGCUGGAAAGCACGAGAAAUCUGCGAUAACCACUGUUGGGGACCCGCGUUGCCUCGUGGGCUGCAGCUCCUGCUGUGAUGCCCUUGCAUCAGAGCGGUCAGUGUUUAUUUUACAGUAGGGAAAUUCUGCCAAAGCUGAGGAACCUCGGGCAGCCCCCGUUUCGCACAGAAAUAACAACCGCUGCAUGGGACUAAUUGCUCCAGGGCAUCUCUCAUUAACGCGGGGCUGCGACCUCAAGUCAUCGAUGUCCUGCUAAAUUGCACAAAAUAAGGCUGGCGGUUUCUCCUAAGCACCUUGUGGCACGGGAAUUAGUGUGGAAGCAGCAGAUUUGGGCAGACCGCCUUGCUCUGCGGCGGGCAGGCAGCCCUCAUCCUCCCGUCCAUCCCUGCCCGGUGCAAGCAGCCCGGCAGCACCGUGGAGGGUCGGAAGCCGCUUUUUCCCCAGCCCUUGGUGGCCCCGGGCGGCCCAAGCCUUGGUGCACACAAGCUCUGUUGUCCUUGCGGUCGGGCCAAGCCGGGAGUUAUGGGCUGACGGUGGGACAGCGCCUGGGAGGGUGGUUUUGGCACGGCCUCCGUUAGGUCUCCGUCCUGGGUAAUUGCAGGAAUUUGGUCUCGGGGUUGUUAAUCCAGCACCUUGCGCAAGCAAAAUCCACAAAACCGGGGAGAAUGGGCUGCUUGUCCUGCAGCCGGCGGGUGCAGCGGGCCGGCGCUUAUCCAGGCAGCGCGUUAACACCUUCCCUUGCACUGCGUGUCCCCUGCCCCGCACGGCGCUCGGCUGUUAGGGCAGCGCUCGUAAAUAAGGACACGUUUUGCAAAGCUCCCUCAAUGCAGCCGAGGUGUGAGAUGCUCCUGUCUCAGCUGGGUGUUGAUGUUUCUCCCGCGGCUUUGGGGAGCGGGAUGCUCCUGCAGCUCCUUGCAGGCUUGCCUGUCCCCAAGAAAAGGCGUCGAAAGGUGGCUUUGCUGGAGCUUGUCUCGGUGCCACACCGUGUUACUGCUGUUAUCCUUGGAGUCCCGUCUAGGUGCUGCAAAUGAAUCCAGAUGUGCAAACACUGAGCCCAUCUGGAUCCGCCAAAAAGCCUGGGUAAAGCAAAGCGUCCCUGUAAAAGGAUCUGCUUUAGCAGGGCUGGGCUCUGUCUUCGCAUAACUUUGGAAACCUGGAUGCGUUUUUCCUCCCGCCCAUUGAGACGGAGGAGGAGGAGGAUUCCUCCCCAGCCGCGGCUCGUGUUUGCGUGCCACCGUGCCGGGGCUGGCGCGGGGGCCGGGGCGGCUUGCCAGGUGACACCGGGUGAACAGAGACUUGUCCCACUUUGGACGUGAAAAAAGUAAUGUUGGGGCUGGAGAGCCUGGAGGGCUCCCGGCUUCAGAGCAAUGAUGUGGUUUGCUGUCCGUGGCUGCCUGCAGCUCGGCUGAUCUGCACGACAGCCCUUGGAGAGAGGUGCUCGUCUCUGAGAUUGGGCUUUUGCAUUGCAGAGGGGCUUAACACAUCUCGCUGGCACCGUGUUGCUUCUGAUGGGAGGCAGCUUUUCGAAUAACUCUUUGCGAGAGCCCAUGUGCACGAGCACCCCAAGCAGGCAGCUUGCCUGCUGCGGUCCCCGCGCUGCAGCUGGAGGGAAUCAGGACAGCUUUGCUGAAUUCCUUCUUUUUUUUGGCGAGGGGAGGGGGAGCUCCAUCAAUUUACAGCUGGCAACUUGGGCUUGCACAGCCUGUCUUUCCUAGCAGCCAAUGCAAAGUGUCAUGCGAAGGCCUGACCGCAGUUAAGACAUCCCAAAAGAAGCAAAACAAAACGAAAAAAUCCAUGUUUCUUAUGCAGGACCUGGAAGUCCUCCAGCAAUAGUAGAGAGUUGGCCUCCAACUGCCUAAUACCAGCCCACAAGGCAGAUUAGCGGGUGGGUUGGGGAGCGCGGUGGAAACGAGUGUGCCGUGAACCGGCCGUGCCCGCUGCAGCUGUGCCGCCGGGGGGGCCCCGACCUGGCGCUCCGGCAGAUCAUGUGGAUUCGACGUGCUCCCUCGAGGGCUGUGGGUUCGCAAACCGGCGAAUAAAUUACAGUGAGGCUUCAACAACCCCGCGCUCACAUCUGCCGCAGGCAGCGCUGCUCCAGCACUUCUUGUUUUGUAAAAACAAAACCAGACCCGCUUGCCUCAAUGCUCUGAAAUUUCCAAGGAGACCAAGAUCCCGCUGAACCGAGGGCAGACCCCCGCGGGAGGUGCGGUCCGGCGCUUGGCACGGCUCCCCGCCUCAGACAGGCACGAACCCACGGGUUUUAUUUCUGCGUUUAAAAAAACAAGAAGGACUGAUCACCUGGUGAUGUUUUUGUGACAGCUUUGCUGGGAUGUCGGUGCUCCGCAGGCAGCAUGCCCCGAACUUGUACUUUAGUGUGUGGCCACCGUUUCUCCGGCCCAGGAGUAAAUGCGGCAGCGCUGAUGUGUCCGAGAUCGUGGCUCUGGAAAGCAUCGUCCUGUGGCCCCUCUCCGUUUUGGUGGCAGGAAUAAAGCCACAUGUGCAGCGGUGUGACACCGCUUUGGCACUAGUCACUUGGCUAGCGAGGUGUUAUUGAAGUAUUCUGAAAAUCGAUGCUAUCCUCUUUCAACCCUUAGGACAUCUUUUGUGAUACAUCUCUUGCUGAUGCAAGGGCCAAAAGAUGUUCUCCAGUCUGCAAUACUCUGUGCAAAGCAAAGAGGUCCUUUGGGGCACUGAAAGAUCUCGGGGAUUAUCACGUUGACUUCGCUUUUGGGAGGUCUGUGACCUGCAGCCCAAAGGAGUGACUUUUGCACUUUAGCAUCUUAUAUCUCGGAGUUAACAAAACAAGCACAACGUUACCGCAAACACCUCUCUUCUCUCCCAUUGCUCUCCCUGCAACUUCUAUAGUGCUAUAAAUGGCUUUAAGAACUGCCUUACCAUAAGCAGCUUUUCCUCCCAAGUGUUUACAGUCUCCUAAAGUUUUGACCAGCAAUGUUAUCGAGGUAAUGGUGUAAGAAAAGACAAGAAAUGACUUAGGAGGGAUUAAAUCUGCAGAUGUUGGAGCAUCCCAGGUGUGCAAUGCUGAGGAUUUGGUGGGGAUGAACACCCAGGCACUGGGGCUAGGGGAACACGUCCUGCGGAUGGAAGGGCUCCGGGGGGGCUAGGGACGCGCCUCCCGCCCCGUCGGCGCCCGCCGGAGCAGGCAAAGCUCUCCUGCGCUUGCAGGGUCAGCACCGAGGUGAAGCACCGGACCAGCGUUUAGGGCGUUGUGCAGCGUUGCUGGAAAGAGGUAAGAGGAGGGCCUGGGAGUCUGUAGCAAAGGAUGUUCUUGUUUUUUCCCCAGUGAAGGCUAAAUCUGUAGAACUCAUAGAUUUAAUUUUGCCCUAUUUUUUUUUUAAUAUCAAUGGAUAGGGCCAGCUGUAAAUUCUAUUUUGAGGACAAAUGUCGUGCAACACCAAUGAGGGGCGGCUGGCUCUCCCUGCCCUCGGAUGUCUGAGCUGGGGGUGAAGGGCAAAACCCCCAUAGCUAACCCGCCCUCCGACCGGAUUUCCAGAUGUUCUGCAAAACGCAGGAUUUCUCCUUUCGUAGGUACUUCUUGGGGACCCCACACACAGGAGAUGCUGCGUGGGCGGAGAGAGCAUCAGGGAGCUUCCCGGGGAGCUGGGAGCACCUCCCGCCUGCUCCGAGCGAGGAAGAGGAGCUCCCUCCUCCCUCUGCGCUCCAUCCUCCGUCCUCGGCACGUUUUUCUCUCCCUUUGAGCCAGAACCCAGAAGGCGUCUUCGGAAACGCCGUAGGUGCCUGAGCAGCAGCAUCGAGCAGAUGAAACAGCUCGGUAAGUGCUUGUUUAAUCUUUAUCCUUUAUUCUCUCGAAGAAGAGCCCCAGCUGCCACCGAGGCCAGGGAGCGGGCAGGAAGAGCCUCUCUGGAGAGGACAUUUCCCAGUCGUCGUAGGUGGCUUUCUGCCUGGCUUUAGCUCCCUGAGCUUGGAGACGUCUCCUCCUUCUCCUCCUCCUUCUCUUCUCCCAGGGAAGCGGUACAUGGGCAGCGGAGAGAAGGUGGGUGAACGAGACCCUUUAGGAGAUGGAGAAGGGAAGAAUUUUGUAGUCAGGGAAGAUGACAGCAGCAGUCUCGGUGCAGUUUCUGCCUCGUCUUGGAGGCCCUCCAGGGACACGAGGUGCUCCCACCCGCACCAGCCGCUGCGGGGCUGGAUGAGCUGCUCCGGCCCCCGAAGGCUGCGGCCGCAAGAGCUCACCGGAUCCAGACCCUUCCCGUGUGAUGUCCCUGCGGGGCAGACGGUGUUGCCACGUGUAGGGACGUGCUUUUGGUGAGCUUUCUCACCGCUUAACAUGUGCAGACCUUGCUUCUGUUCCCCAGUAACCGAGCGGGGACGGGGCAUCAUCCCGCCUAAUAACUGCUUAGUGCUGAGGUAGCUCUCUGCGUCUUCCAGCCACCGUGCAAAUAUUAGCUGAUUAAGUGGAAAUAACCUUAUCUAGAGGACACUUACGAUAGCAUUGUUCAGACCACAGCAGGUAAUAGGGAGGAUUAAUUCCCAACAGCCAUUCCCCCCCCCCAAAAAAAUUGGUGUUUGAGCUGAUCAAGGCUUUUUAACAAACCUUUUAUUGUCGCCUUUGGUUUGGAGGAACUUUUGUCGAGUGAGGGUUCUCAGGUCUCGAAUUCCUGGGCCGGGCGGGAGACCCUGCAGGAGAGCCGGCCACAGGGGCCUUGGAGCAAGUUGAUUUUAUAUCCUUCAGUGGGCUGAUCUCUACGGCAAGACUUUUCAUUAAACCACUGGAAACAGGAGGAGGAGCUGCUGCACUGAUCCGGCACCAAGAAAAGACGAUCCCUCGCCCGCAGUGUUUAUACUCCAGUGAAUGUUUUCAGAGCUCAUGCGGUGUCCAGCAAGCCGGGGGACUGUGCUUUCCAAUAGCAACAGAUGACAGAGAUGAAAAUAUAAUAGCAGCUGAAUUCCUCCUUUACCACAAAAAGAGCAGAGCUCCAGCAAAGAGCCGUCUCCUGCUCCGAGCGUAUUGUCUCACAGGCAAAGCACGUAUCACUUAGCUAACGUGAACUGCCAGGAAGCAAUACUCAUUGUCACGGCCUUGAAAUGAUGAAGGAAGAGAUUAUGGAGAGACGUAUUUCUGGCCUAGGAGCAGCCUGCACUUAACAGCUAUCAGCGCACAAGUGCCAAAAGGAAAACGUUCACCUCCCUGGUGCCAGCGGGACUCUGCGGACCCAUUCUUUGGCCUCUGCAACGUUAUAAAGUGGAAAUAAUGGCAUUUUGGAGGAUGGCCAUUUUGCUGCUAGGAACGCUGCUGCGGCGAGACCGCCAAGUUUCCACCUCUGGCGGAGGCAGGGCUUUGCCCAGACCGUGGAUGUUGAACCAGUGCCGCGAAGCAGCGGCGUGACCGUCCCUGCCAGCGCUGCCGCGUCGGGAGGCCGUUUUGCACCACGCUGCGGUGCCGGUGGCAUCUUCCCGGGCAGGCUGCUGUCACCAUGCAGCAGCGGCGAGCCUUGCUGCACCGCUCCCGCUGCGGGCUUCAUCGUCGGCUGGGGUUUCAGCACGAACUCGAGUGCCUUCCUCCGCGAGGAUGGUCCCCUUUUGCACUGAGCUGCAACGUGCACCAGGCGCAUCUUGCGUUCAGGCCAGCAGAAAGGGCUGGACCUGCUUUUCUGCCCUUCCCUGCCGACGCCGCGGGGCAGCGGUCCGAGCUGCGGAUGGGGCAGAGCGCGGGGCUGCUCCGUGCUCACGGGGGGCCGCAGGCUGUGCCGAUUUCCCGGUUUAACCCCGCAGGGUGAGCGGGGCUGGAGGGGCCUGGGAAGCGGAGCGGAGCUGCUGCACCGACCCCCGGCCGGGUCGGGGCUCCGGGAGGACCAGGGCACCUGGAAGCCCCUCCGCCUGCGCCCCGACCUGGAGCUAAGGGCAGCUUGGCCACAUCGGCAUGUCCACCCAUGAGCUGCAGUUAAACUCAUGCAAUUCCGGAGUUUUAUUAAUUUCCAGUUGGGUUUUUGCUGGUGCAGCUGCCGCCUCUUGCUCGCAGAGGUCCAGCCCUGACGCUCGUCUGCGCUGCGAUAACGCUGGCGUCGGAUCCCGACGGAGGAGUCUCUGCUCUGCCGGGCAGAGGGAACCCGUCAGGAGGCACGUCAUAUCCUAAGGAAUCCCAUUUCCAGUUUCCUUCCCGAUUACGCCGCUUAUCCGCAGACACGAGCCCCCCCCCGGACUCGCUUUGAUUUAUCUCUCCACUAAAUCUCCUGAACUCGCGUAUUUUCUUUUCACUUCACCUCUGUUGGCAGUCGUAUUUCAGAGCCGGGCAGCCCGGAGGGAGCGCGGUGUGCGGCCGGUCUGUGCGGGGCGGUCGGCAAAUCUUCCAGGACACGUCCAGGGACGGGCUACGGGGCCCGUGGGCUCUGGCCUGGGCUGUCGCUUGCAGCUGGUUCUUCCUUCAUGCAAAGUCCUACAAAAAUACGGGCUCAUCAAGAGGACGGGGGGGACGUGACCUGCUUCAGGCAAAUGCUGGAGAGGCGUGAGCUUGCUUGCGUCCCCUUCCUCCGGCGAGGGCCGUGCCACCUCCGUCCUCCGGCCGCAGUCCCCUGCGUCGUGUCCGAGCGGCCGAGCACACGAGGAAGGGAUUAUCCCUCUGGGCAGCAGCCCGCUGUGCGCUGGAGACCGGUAUUUUCCCUCCUUCCCUUGCCCUCGUUCCUUCUGCCCCUCCUCGAGGUGAGGCUUUCCACGCCUCCGGCCCUUCCCUGGCCGCUCCUGGCCCCCUCUCCAGCCGUCCCCCCUUUCCUGACGCGGGUGGAAAGACGGCUUCCCGCGGGCCGGGUGCCUGUUUACAUGUCUCAGCGCGAUGUUUGCUUGCUUUUGCAUCAACAGGAUGGCGAUGACUCAGGUUCAGCUGGUCUCCAUUACCGCCCCAGACUCUUGCCUGAGAAGCGCUGCAGCAGCUCCCUCGCAGCGUCUUCGUCCGGGAUCGCACACGGGAUCAGCCCCGGGCAGUCCCCGUUCUGCAGAGAGCAGUUCGGAGACCUCCCUUUCCCUCUCCAGCAGAGAUGUCCCUCUGCCCUGCUUGGGGGAGAGGACCUGCCCGCAGCUGCGUGCCGUCGCUGCUCUGCACCGCGGGCGAUCGGGCGUGUCUGCCCGAGCUGGGCUGCGUCUGCACCUUGCGGGUGUCUGCACGGCGGGUGCUUAAAAAUCAGGGUCAGACCAAGGCUGGCUGCAAAUCUGGCCCAAAAUAUCCAGCGCUGAGAUUUUCGUCUCCUUGCAGCAAGCCCUGCUUUUGCACGCUGCCCAAAAAUGAGCACUGAGCGAUGCACCAGCGGCGGGUUCUGGUAGCCCGCAAGGUGCUGGUUAAACACCAGCUUCUGCAAGGAAAUGCGCCCAGUUUGCACGCUACAAGAUUAGCCCAGUAUAGGCUGCAAAUGCAGGAGGGGGGUAUAAACAACAAGCGGGCAAACAGGAUCUUGACUGGUUUUGUGAAGAGAAGUGAGCAAUCAAUGUCGAAAGGAUUUGGCCCUAUUUUCUGAGCUGUGAGCUGCAGUUAGAAAUAAGCUUUGGGGAAUUGUGGUCUCCUUGCUGAGAUCUGUGCCAUAGCGAACACUGGUGUUUUCCAAACCUCAAAUGUUUUUGUUGGGCUAAUAAAAGUUACAAGAAGAGAAGGGAAAGAUGUAAUGAAAUCAGGCCAUGCGAAAGCCAAAAUCUGAACAGAAACAUCAGAUCUGGACCUGCUUCAGCUCUGAAGAAGCCAGACUGAAAUCCAGCUCGUGGCUCAAAACGUGGGCAAGGUCCAGCGCGGCCAGCCUUGCUCCACGUGGUAGGGUUGCCGCGUGCCCCGAAGCCAGCAGACCCUGGUAACUCCCUCCCCGCUGGAGCACCGUCACCCUCUGACUCCCGGGAGCACUCUGAGGCUGCCGAUUUCCCGCAGGAAUUGGGAUUUUUCAGGUAUGGGGGUAGAUGUGAUCUGUUUUCCAGUUUGAGAGGAGGUGCACCAGCGUAUGCUGGGGAAGGUGCAAGGGGAGGGUGGGCUGUGGGGGCGAAGCAAAGGCAGAGGAGGUGCAAAAAUUGCAGCCUGGGAAAAAGCUGGCUUUUUCACAUAUUUGGGGAAGGUUUCUAAUUAGCGCAGAGGGUCUCCACACAAGGGAACACCGAACGCAAGGUAAAACUCAACGGUGCUUGGGUUUGAGAUGCUGGGGGAAUAUUAAUGAGAUCUGCUAAAGUUCACAUUAAGCCAAAUCUGUGCAGAAAUUCAGGAUUUAGUGCUGAAGAAGGUCGUGUGGAUGUCGCCCCAUUCUGUGCCGUGGAGCCCAACAGAGGAUUUGCUGGAGAACUUGAGAACUUGCGCAGAGGCUUUUUGUCUGUUUUUGUUUGCCACCUCUAUCUUCUCCCUGCCAGAUGUCGGAUGAUCUGAUGCAUUGAAAAGAGGCAGCCGAUGUCACAGGGGGAACGGGCUCUUCUGCUGGCAGGGGAGGUCUCCGCUGGGCGCCCCGCGUUUGCUGACCGCCCGCGUGCUGCUCCUCGCUGCAGCCCGUGGUCCCCCUCGCUCUGCAGUUGAGCUGCAAUCUCUAGACGCGACCGGACAAGCCAAGUUACAUGGGCAUUUGGGUAACGAUGAUGGUAUUUGACAUCAAACUUAAGAGGAAGCUGGUCCCAGCCCUGCAGUUCUUGCUCACUCAGCGCUCGUGUUGGGGUGUUUUGCGCAUCUUGGCAUGUUCGUGCCCAAAGGUUUAUGGGCGUCUGAGUGUUUGGGGUGGAGCUGGUGCAGUUUCCCCGCUCCUUUUAGGAGCUUCCCUCCAAGGAUGCAUUUCUGUAAAUGAGAGGUUUGGCGUGUGCAGAACUGGAGUUUUGGGCGCUCUUCCGUGUUUCUGUGCAAUGCCACCCUCCCCCUGCCCAAUCCAUCUUCAAAUCCAACUGCUUAGAAGUAUCCCUUGUAAUCAGCAGUGCAAUCCCUCUGGCUCAACGAGGGAUGUCUUUAUUGUGCUCUAACGCACGCCCUGUUAUGUCUUACCCUUAAUGGGUACUUGGCUUAUCCUUGGUAGGAGCCUGCCUGGGACUCGCUGGAGAUAAACUCGUCCCCCAUUAGCAUCAACUGGAAGUUUUUAUGGGGUUGAUGAAAAAUAUACCUGGGACAAAUGAUUAUUUUAUGUCUUAGAGAAGUAAGACCUAAGAGGCCUCCAGACACGCAGGGAGAGAAUCGUCAGCCAUUAACGUGAAGGCGUAAUUUGUCUCUCAUCCUCUUUAACACUGGGCUGAGGGAUACUUUCUAGGUAAAUACAACGUUCAGCUGUCAUCUUGGCACGUUGGAUAAGGGCAAAGCCACUUCCUUGGCAGAUUAUAAUGAUAUACAUUAGCCACCCAAUUUAGUGAAAAAUAUUGUUUUCUUCUAAUUAAGCAAAUUGUUGCAAGCUAGGUCGCUGACUCCUGGGGAAGUUACAGUUUCUGCCUUCUAGGCUUGCUGACAAGAGAAUAGAUUUAUCUCCAAUUCAGAUCACUAGAGAUGGUUCUCGGUGUUUUAUUACCACAUGCAACUUUCUGGAUGUUACUAAGAGAUUAAUGAAGAAGAGAGGGCGGGGGUGAGAGGAGUUCAGCAACGGUCUGUGCAUGCCAAAUAUUAAUUAUAUUUCAUUUCAUAUGCAGAUGAUGCAAUCAGCUGUGCAACACUGGAGAUAAUACUUUUGUCUCGGUUUGUUUUUCGACCUUGAGAGGCCGUGUUUUCCCCCUUCCUCCUGCAAAUCAGAAUUCAUAUCUUAAUUACAUUCCGUGAUUUGCGUUUCCUUUCGUCUGUGCGGACGAGCUGAUGUUAAUGCACAGGACGAACAAGAUAACUACCUGCGGGGUCAGGGCAGCUCCUGCCCUGGAAGGAGCCUCUCUGCAGCGCGGUCCGGUCGACCUCGGGAGAACCGGCCAUCGCCAGCCUUUCCUCGCGCUCCAGGGCCUGCGUUAGCCGUGCCGUGUCCCGGGGGCACGUCACCACCGUCCUCGGCCAGCGCUUGGCGGACCUUCUCCGCAGCACCUGGUGCUGGCCCAUGCCGUGGUGGGGGAACCGGGGAGCUGCCCGGCUGCCAGGCGCAGCGGAGCGCUUUGGGACGGCUGCAAUCGCUGCAGCGGCUGCGGAGCGGUGCAGUGCCCGGCAGAGCGGCUGUCACGUGUGGCUGGGUGAGGACCGUCGGUGACCGUGCUGCUGCUGCUCUCCCGGGCUUGGAGGGAUGCCGGGGAAGCCCCCGUACUUGCGACGGGCUGGGAGGCCACACGAAUGCUGCUAACUCCGCAGCGUCGCAGCCGCCGGGGCUGACUUUGAGGUGUUGCACACCCAUGGGCGAUGGUGCGUGAUCCAUGCCCAUGGAUCCACGGAGGCCCCCGGCACGGUGCAGCAGUUGCACGUGUGACCUGCCGCUUUGCAAGGGUGGCCGGGCUUUGCCCGGGGAUCACCACGCAGCCGGCGCCCCGUGGCAGCGACGUGCGAGGCGCAAGCGUGGCAGCUCGCGUUACUGCUGCAGCGCUCGUGCAGCGGUGCCGGGCUGGCAACGGUCCCGGAGGAACGAUGUCUCGCGUCCUCAGCCGUGCAACUCGGCUCAGCUUGCAGGGCUGCAGCAGCGCGGCCAGAGCGAUGCCGAAGGCAGGAAAAAAGCAAGAGCCGCUGCGGCGUCUGUCAGGUGCAGGCACAGUGCUUUUAAGCAUAAGUCACUCCUGCAUUUAGGGCUGCAGGUAAGCAGCGUAGCGACCCGUGACCAAUCGCCAUUUCGGCAUGAUAUUGCAAUUAUAUUUGGCAGAGCUGUUAAAGAGUCAGCGUGGCGCAGCAGCAGGAUUUGUUGGGAAAGCGUCCUGGGCCAGCCGGGCUGCUGCGUGGCAUCGGCCACCGUCAACGCGGAGAUAGACCUUGGGUGAAUGCAGAGUAAAACUUUCCCUUCGUGUGUGCGGGGGGGUAUAUGUGUGCACGUAUAUGUAUAUAUACAUAAGAAUAAAUAUAUAUAAAGAUAUAUUUAAAA